rnacentral:rRNA from 3 species
CUGCGAAUGGCUCAUUAAAUCAGUUAUCGUUUAUUUGAUAGUACCUUACUACAUGGAUAACCGUGGUAAUUCUAGAGCUAAUACAUGCUAAAAACCUCGACUUCGGAAGGGGUGUAUUUAUUAGAUAAAAAACCAAUGCCCUUCGGGGCUCCUUGGUGAAUCAUAAUAACUUAACGAAUCGCAUGGCCUUGCGCCGGCGAUGGUUCAUUCAAAUUUCUGCCCUAUCAACUUUCGAUGGUAGGAUAGUGGCCUACCAUGGUAUCAACGGGUAACGGGGAAUUAGGGUUCGACUCCGGAGAGGGAGCCUGAGAAACGGCUACCACAUCCAAGGAAGGCAGCAGGCGCGCAAAUUACCCAAUCCCGACACGGGGAGGUAGUGACAAUAAAUACUGAUACAGGGCUCUUUUGGGUCUUGUAAUUGGAAUGAGUACAAUUUAAAUCCCUUAACGAGGAACAAUUGGAGGGCAAGUCUGGUGCCAGCAGCCGCGGUAAUUCCAGCUCCAAUAGCGUAUAUUAAAGUUGUUGCAGUUAAAAAGCUCGUAGUUGAACCUUGGGCCUGGCUGGCCGGUCCGCCUCACCGCGUGUACUGGUCCGGCCGGGCCUUUCCUUCUGGGGAACCUCAUGCCCUUCACUGGGCGUGUUGGGGAACCAGGACUUUUACUUUGAAAAAAUUAGAGUGUUCAAAGCAGGCCUUUGCUCGAAUACAUUAGCAUGGAAUAAUAGAAUAGGACGUGUGGUUCUAUUUUGUUGGUUUCUAGGACCGCCGUAAUGAUUAAUAGGGAUAGUCGGGGGCAUCAGUAUUCAAUCGUCAGAGGUGAAAUUCUUGGAUUGAUUGAAGACUAACUACUGCGAAAGCAUUUGCCAAGGAUGUUUUCAUUAAUCAGUGAACGAAAGUUAGGGGAUCGAAGACGAUCAGAUACCGUCGUAGUCUUAACCAUAAACUAUGCCGACUAGGGAUCGGACGGUGUUAGUAUUUUGACCCGUUCGGCACCUUACGAGAAAUCAAAG